UGGGGAAUAUUGCACAAUGGGCGCAAGCCUGAUGCAGCCAUGCCGCGUGUAUGAAGAAGGCCUUCGGGUUGUAAAGUACUUUCAGUCGGGAGGAAGGUGGUAAGGUUAAUAACCUUAUCAAUUGACGUUACCGACAGAAGAAGCACCGGCUAACUCCGUGCCAGCAGCCGCGGUAAUACGGAGGGUGCAAGCGUUAAUCGGAAUUACUGGGCGUAAAGCGCACGCAGGCGGUUGAUUGAGUCAGAUGUGAAAUCCCCGGGCUUAACCCGGGAAUUGCAUCUGAUACUGGUCAGUUGGAGUGUUGUAGAGGGGGGUAGAAUUCCAGGUGUAGCGGUGAAAUACGUAGAGAUAUGGAGGAAUACCGGUGGCGAAGGCGGCCCCCUGGACAAAGACUGACGCUCAGGUGCGAAAGCGUGGGGAGCAAACAGG
rnacentral:rRNA from 1 species